UACCAGCUCUCCGAGUGGUGUGGAUGUUUAUUGGGCCUAAAGCAUCCGUAGCUGGCUGGGCAAGUCCCCUGUUAAAUCCACCGAUUUAAUCGUUGGUGUGCGGGGGAUACUGUUCGGCUAGGGGACGGGAGAGGCCGACGGUAUUUUCGGGGUAGGGGUGAAAUCCUAUAAUCCCGGGAAGACCACCAGUGGCGAAGGCUGUCGGCUAGAACGCGCCCGACGGUGAGGGAUGAAAGCUGGGGGAGCGAACCGGAUUAGAUACCCGGGUAGUCCCAGCUGUAAACGAUGCAGGCUAGGUGUUUGGGCGGCCACGUGCCGCUCUAGUGCCGCAGAGAAGUCGUUAAGCCUGCCGCCUGGGGAGUACGGCCGCAAGGCUGAAACUUAAAGGAAUUGGCAGGGGAGCACCACAAGGGGUGAAGCUUGCGGUUU
rnacentral:rRNA from 1 species